CCUACGGGAGGCAGCAGUGAGGAAUAUUGGUCAAUGGACGAGAGUCUGAACCAGCCAAGUAGCGUGAAGGAUGACUGCCCUAUGGGUUGUAAACCUCUUUUAUAUGGGAAUAAAACGUUCCACGUGUGGGAUUUUGUAUGUACCAUAUGAAUAAGGAUCGGCUAACUCCGUGCCAGCAGCCGCGGUAAUACGGAGGAUCCGAGCGUUAUCCGGAUUUAUUGGGUUUAAAGGGAGCGUAGGUGGAUUGUUAAGUCAGUUGUGAAAGUUUGCGGCUCAACCGUAAAAUUGCAGUUGAAACUGGCAGUCUUGAGUACAGUAGAGGUGGGCGGAAUUCGUGGUGUAGCGGUGAAAUGCUUAGAUAUCACGAAGAACUCCGAUUGCGAAGGCAGUUCACUGGACUGCAACUGACACUGAGGCUCGAAAGUGUGGGUAUCAAACAGGAUUAGAUACCCUUGUAGUC
rnacentral:rRNA from 1 species